GGGCAGAUACCCGAGUGGCCAAAGGGGUCAGACUGUAAAUCUGAUGGCUCACGCCUACGAAGGUUCGAAUCCUUCUCUGCCCACCG
rnacentral:tRNA from 1 species